CCAAUAGCGUAUAUUAAAGUUGUUGCAGUUAAAAAGCUCGUAGUUGAAUUUCGGGAUUAGUACGUUGGUCGUGCCUUAGGUACGUACUGGUGUUACUGGUUCCUACCUUCUGACGAACCAUCAUGUCAUUAAUUUGGUGUGGCGGGGAAUCAGGACUGUUACUUUGAAAAAAUUAGAGUGUUUAAAGCAGGCUCGCGCUUGAAUACAUUAGCAUGGAAUAAUGAAAUAGGACGUUGACCCUAUUUUGUUGGUUUCUAGGAUUGACGUAAUGAUUAAUAUGGAUAGUUGGGGGCAUUAGUAUUCAAUUGUCAGAGGUGAAAUUCUUGUAUUUAUUGAAGACUAACUACUGCGAAAGCAUUUGCCAAGGAUGUUUUCAUUAAUCAAGAACGAAAGUUAGGGGAUCGAAGACGAUCAGAUACCGUCGUAGUCUUAACCAUACACUAUGCCGACUAGGGAUCGGAUGAUGUUAAUUUUUUAAUGACUCAGUCGGCGCCUUACG
rnacentral:rRNA from 1 species